rnacentral:rRNA from 1 species
GACGAACGCUGGCGGCGUGCUUAACACAUGCAAGUCGAACGGAAAGGCCCUGCUUUUGUGGGGUGCUCGAGUGGCGAACGGGUGAGUAACACGUGAGUAACCUGCCCUUGACUUUGGGAUAACUUCAGGAAACUGGGGCUAAUACCGGAUAGGAGCUCCUGCUGCAUGGUGGGGGUUGGACAGUUUCGGCGGUUGGGGAUGGACUCGCGGCUUAUCAGCUUGUUGGUGGGGUAGUGGCUUACCAAGGCUUUGACGGGUAGCCGGCCUGAGAGGGUGACCGGCCAGAUUGUUACUGAGAACUGGCCGGGAAUCCUACUGGGGCCAGCAGUGGGGGAUAUUGGCCGAUGGGCGGACCCCUGAUGCAGCAACGUCGCGUGCGGGAUGACUGCCUUCUGGGGGUAUACCGCUUUCGCCUGUGACGAAGCGUGAGCUACGGUAAUGGGUAAAUAAGCACCGGCUAACUACGUG